GAGGGGAGCGGGGCCGACACAGGGUUCCUGACCAAGCUGGUGCUUCUGCGUGUGUUCCUGCAUGACUUGGUGUGUCCCCUUCUCUUGGAUCUACUGCAGUUGACAGCAGAUAACUGAAAGCUCGGAAAGCGAAACCGUGGAUAAGCAGGGGAACUGUGGCAUCCCAUUUAAAAUUGCUUCUGAAGAGAAGCAUGAGGUUACAUCUGUAAUCUCCCUGCAGCAGAGUCAACUGCAUAAGAAACCAAAAGACACACCUGCUCCAUGCCAGCCUAAGCCACCACAUAAAAAGUCAGACCAUCUGCUGGAAGAACCACAUGGAGAGGCCCUGAGUCAACAUGGAGAGGAAGAAGGACUUGACUGAAUCCAGCCUUCCAGCUGUCCCUACCAAGGUGCCAGGCAUGAGAAUGAAGCUGUCUUGAACUCUGAAGACCAGCUUAGCCACCAGAUGCCAAACACUGAGC
rnacentral:lncRNA from 1 species